GGCGCGUAAAACCUCCCCGUCUGCGCUCCGGCGCUUUGGUGGUGUUCAGCGUGGAACGGCAACGUCAAACUGUCCUGUCCAUUUGGAAUCGAGUCUUGGUAGUAAAACCUCGUGUCUUGGAUGCCCAUUUUAAAGUCCGAUCCUCAUGGGAAUUCCGACGGAGGUGUGUUUUGCAGCACCUCAGAUGUACAGCACACCUGAAGAAAGCGCUGGCAGGGAGUCUGCAUCCUUCUGCUUAACACACGGCAGCUGUGUUGAGGGAAGAUCCCUCUCCUAUACCGUGUCAUUCCCCGGUGACCGCAGCAAUGCCCCUGGUGACCGCCUGCUGCCCUCUUCUUGUUGAAGCUGUCGAGUGCUGAGAUGUCCCAAAGUUCAAUCUUGUCAUGCUCAGGCAUCGCUUUCUGCCACCCUCUAUCCAUCAACCGAGCUGUUUGUGAACCAUUAUGAUAUGUGUGUGUCUGUGUGUGAGCACGCUUGUGUGCACUGCUCCCUUAUUCCUGAACGCAAGAUCCCAGCUGCUUCACCCACCUGAUUUUUUUACUUGCAUAUCUGUGUAAAUGAGUUGUCCAGUAAGGGUCAAUGUAAUUGAUUCGGUUCAUCCCAAUGAAUCACAAUAGCACCCUGAAAUUGACCCUUUCAACAUUUUAGGGAUGUUUAAGUAGAUUUAUGUGGAUUGUGUGUGUGUGUGUGUGCUUGUGUGUGUGUGUCUGCGUCGGACCCUGCGGGCUGGGACGUGUCACCCCUUCGUCUCGUCACUGCUAAUAUGAACUUGAGCAUCCAGGCGUGGAGCUGUGACAGAUCGGCAGACAGCCCUGCCCCCUCAGCAUCCCUUCAUCCCUGCUACCUAUCUAGCUUGCUUAAUCUUAAAUUAAUUUCAGGUCAAAAACGAACCGAUCCCUGGCACCAGGCUAUGAUACCUCACCUGCCCACUGGGGAUCACUGGAAGGAAGUGUAACGUCAGAUUAACAAGAUAGCACAUUGUUGACAAGCGUGGGGAUUAUUUACAGCUGCGAGUCGCUUUAUCACCACACGCGACUCCUUUUUUGAUCUUUUAGAGAAUAUGUGAUUAAUAAACAAACCUGUGAAUCGCACGUGUGGUGCUGUCAGCAAACGCAAAAUAUUUGUGACCUUUUAAAGUGACUCCCGAUGCGUUGGGUCAAAUGGUGUCGGAAGAUGAUGUUUUUUGACAUUUUUCCACUCUUGACCUUUCCACUAAUGUUACAGGAGAUCUGUGGAGUGUUUCUGCUCAGUAGCAGUUCACGAUCAGGUCUUGCAUGCUGAGUUCAGGGUCGCUAACCUCACUGGCAGGUACUUAACCUUUUCACACCACUGACUCAAACACCAUGAACUCUGAUUUGGAGUACAUAGAUCUUAAGUGCUAUAGCAUUUUUUUUUUUUACACUUAAAUGUAUUAAGUGAAUUAAGAAUCAAAUUAUCAUUAAUAUUUAUAAACACAAUUUUUAAUCUAAAUUGUUUUUAUUAUUAAGAUGUUAAAAAUUAUUAUUAUUUGUAAGAUUUAUUAAAGUAUUUUGACACAGGACAGUAUUUCAUACAGGAAGUGAGUUGGGAGAGAAAGAGACUAUUUAGUUUUUUUAUUUUAUUUUAAUUUAGCACAUUUUUUCUGAAAAAAGGCUGUAAAUAAUUUAGAUUACUUAAUAAGGUGGUGUGUAAUUAAAUCAUGGACACUGUUGUAUAUAUUUGUUCUUUCAUUUUAUUUAAAUUUUAUGGCCACUAUUAAACUAAACUAAUGGAACAAAUUAAAGAAUCAAAGAAUAAACUUGCUAUGGAUAUAUAUAAUAUAUCCACUAGAUACACUUUUAGGGGGGUAACAAAAAUUAAAAGCAGUGUUUUUUUUUGGUUGUGUGAUCUCAAAUACUAAAGUAGCUGUUAUAU